AUGGGAAUGUUUUGGCCCCGUUUUCUGCCCUGGCCCAGUUUUUAUGUGACUGUUGGGUCUUAUUCCAGCACUUCACUGAUGAAGAAAUGGGGGAGAAAGCGAAGCAAGGCCAGCGUAGGAGGACGCUGGAGGCCGGCCCAGGUGGACGCCCCGAUGUCAGAGCUGACAUACAAGAACAUAGAGCAGCAUGAGACGGGUGAUCCGGGUCCCCAGGAUGCCCCUGAGCUGGGCAGGGAGGAGCUGGGCACGGAUAGUCCCCCGGAUCUUCCUCAGCGCAGAUGGGGAGGUAGUGUGCUAGUGCUCUCUGCUCAGGGGAAUUGUGUUUUGGGGGAGUGGGGGAGGUGUCCCAGACACCUGGGGUU
rnacentral:lncRNA from 1 species